UACGUAGGGUGCAAGCGUUAAUCGGAAUUACUGGGCGUAAAGCGUGCGCAGGCGGUUUUGUAAGUCUGUCGUGAAAUCCCCGGGCUUAACCUGGGAAUGGCGAUGGAGACUGCAAGGCUAGAGUUUGGCAGAGGGGGGGAGAAUUCCACGUGUAGCAGUGAAAUGCGUAGAGAUGUGGAGGAACACCGAUGGCGAAGGCAGCCCCCUGGGUCAAAACUGACGCUCAUGCACGAAAGCGUGGGGAGCAAACAGG
rnacentral:rRNA from 1 species